CAGUCCGCGGUAAUACGGAGGGAGCUAGCGUUGUUCGGAAUUACUGGGCGUAAAGCGCACGUAGGCGGCUCAGCAAGUCAGGGGUGAAAUCCCGGGGCUCAACCUGGGAAUGGCAAUGGAUACUGGCAAGCUAGAGUGUGUCAGAGGAUGGUGGAAUUCCCGGUGUAGCGGUGAAAUGCGUAGAGAUCGGGAGGAACAUCAGUGGCGAAGGCGGCCAUCUGGGACAACACUGACGCUGAGGCACGAAAGCGUGGGGAGCAAACAGGAUUAGAUACCCCCGUAGUCCCUGUCUCUUAUACAC
rnacentral:rRNA from 1 species